UCUCAGCUAAGCUCAAGGGCAAGAUUGGGA
rnacentral:piRNA from 1 species